UACGUAGGGGGCAAGCGUUGUCCGGAUUUAUUGGGCGUAAAGAGCGUGUAGGCGGUCUGGUAGGUCCGCUGUGAAAACUCGAGCUCAACCUCGAGACGCCGGUGGAAACCAUCAGACUAGAGUCCGGAAGAGGAGAGUGGAAUUCCUGGUGUAGCGGUGAAAUGCGCAGAUAUCAGGAAGAACACCCGUGGCUAAGGCGGCUCUCUAGUACGGUACUGACGCUGAGACGCGAAAGCGUGGGGGAGCGAACAGG
rnacentral:rRNA from 1 species